rnacentral:rRNA from 1 species
GAUGAACGCUAGCUACAGGCUUAACACAUGCAAGUCGAGGGGCAGCAUGGUCUUAGCUUGCUAAGGCCGAUGGCGACCGGCGCACGGGUGAGUAACACGUAUCCAACCUGCCGUCUACUCUUGGACAGCCUUCUGAAAGGAAGAUUAAUACAAGAUGGCAUCAUGAGUCCGCAUGUUCACAUGAUUAAAGGUAUUCCGGUAGACGAUGGGGAUGCGUUCCAUUAGAUAGUAGGCGGGGUAACGGCCCACCUAGUCUUCGAUGGAUAGGGGUUCUGAGAGGAAGGUCCCCCACAUUGGAACUGAGACACGGUCCAAACUCAUACGGGAGGCAGCAGUGAGGAAUAUUGGUCAAUGGGCGAGAGCCUGAACCAGCCAAGUAGCGUGAAGGAUGACUGCCCUAUGGGUUGUAAACUUCUUUUAGAAAGGAAUAAAGUCGGGUAUGGAUACCCGUUUGCAUGUACUUUAUGAAUAAGGAUCGGCUAACUCCGUG